CUUAUUCUAUUCAUACUACCUUGUAUAAGUUCAGGAAUAAGGCUUGAACGUCUCUACCAGGCUGCCGUAAAUGGCCUAUCUACAAGGGGCAAUAAGGAAAGA
rfam:Bacillus galactosidilyticus strain PL133 scaffold000112, whole genome shotgun sequence.